rnacentral:rRNA from 1 species
UACGUAGGGUGCGAGCGUUGUCCGGAAUUAUUGGGCGUAAAGAGCUUGUAGGCGGUUUGUCGCGUCUGCCGUGAAAUUUCGAGGCUCAACCUCGAACUUGCGGUGGGUACGGGCAGACUAGAGUGUGGUAGGGGAGACUGGAAUUCCUGGUGUAGCGGUGAAAUGCGUAGAUAUCUGGAGGAACACCGGUGGCGAAGGCGGCAUCCUGGACCAACACUGACACUGAGGAGCGAAAGCCAGGGGAGCAAACGGG